GACGAACGCUGGCGGCGUGCUUAACACAUGCAAGUCGAACGGAAAGGCCCUGCUUUUGUUGGGUGCUCGAGUGGCGAACGGGUGAGUAACACGUGAGUAACCUGCCCUUGACUUUGGGAUAACUUCAGGAAACUGGGGCUAAUACCGGAUAGGAUCUCCUGCUGCAUGGUGGGGGUUGGAAAGUUUCGGCGGUUGGGGAUGGACUCGCGGCUUAUCAGCUUGUUUGUGGGGUAGUGGCUUACCAAGGCUUUGACGGGUAGCCUGCCUGAGAGGGUGACCGGCGACAUUGGGACUGAGAUACGGCCCAGAAUGCUACGGGAGGCAGCAGUGGGGAAUAUUGCAGAAUGGGCGGAAGCCUGAUGCAGCAACGCCGCGUGCGGGAUGACGGCCUUCGGGUUGUAAACAGAUUUCGAAGGUGAUGAAGAGUGAGUGACGGUAAUGGGUAAAGAAGCAACGGCUAACUACGUG
rnacentral:rRNA from 1 species